GAGGGAGGGACGGAGAGAGAGAGAGAGAGAGAGAGAGAGAGGAGGUAAGGAGGGAGGAAUCAGACAGAAGAAGGUGGAAGGACUAGACUGGCUAAAUCUUCUGGCCCCCAUCUUUCUCCUGUGCUGGAUGCUUCCUGCCCUCGAACAUCAGACUCUUAAGUUCUUCAGCUUCUGGACUCUUGGACUUACACCAGUGAUUUGCCAGGGCCUCUCGGGCCUUCAACCACAGACUAAAGGCUGCACUAUCAUCUGCCCUACUUUUGAGGUCUGGGGACUCAGACUGGUUUCUCGCCCCUCAGCUUGCAGACGGUCUAUUGUGGGACUUCACCUUGUGAUCCUGAGUCGAUUCUCCUUAAUAAACUCCCUUUCAUAUAUACAGCUAUCCUAUUAGUCCUGCCCCUCUAGAGAACCCUGACUAACACACUAGGGAUGCGUUAAUGUUGCCCAAUACAGGACUCCUCUAGUGGGCAUUACUUGCUCUGGGACUUCCCACUGACCUAGCGAAGGCUUUCUGAAAGAUGCUGGGCCAGUCAUCAAUGUGCUACCGCUCAGCUCCAGAUACGUUCUGCUCUGCACGCUGGAGAUGAACUGUGCUCCUUUGCAGUGAGAUGCUGAGCUUUGACAGGAGUCAGUGCUGGAAGAUACUUUCAGGAGGAGAGGAGGUUUCUGUGUGUACGUGUAUGUCUGUGCACACACACACGCACACGCUGUUCUUGCUGCUGUGUCAUGGUUGCUUAGCCGUGAGCCCAGUGUGCAUAGCCUAGACCAACACUGCAGCCCUCAGGCCUGGGGACCAUCUUCCAGCAAUUCUGCUGAUGCAGAUGCCUUAAGUUUUAGGCCUCACAUCUGUAAAUGUGCCCCAAUUCUACCUGCCCACAAGUCUCAGCUCCCUUGGCCGUCUGAGGGUUGUUCCUGCUUACCCGGUGACUAUGGACCAGCUCUGCCUAUAGGCAACCCCCCGACUUCUUGCCAUCCAGUGGGCUGCAACCAACCACACCUUCUCCAGUGAGGGCUGAACCCCACUUGGGGAGGGCACCCCCUUCUAGCUGUAUCUUUCCUUGGGGACUCUCCUUGGAUACCUUUUAAAGGUCUCUUUGCAUCUUUAUUUUUGUUUUGAUCUUUUUGAGACAAGGUUUUGCUCUGUUGCUCAGACUGUAGUGCAGUGGCAAGAUCUUGGCUCACUGAAGACGCCACCUCCUGAGUUCAAGCGAGUCUUCUGCCUCAGCCUCCCUAGUAGCUGGGGUUACAGGGUGUGCCACCAAGCCUGGCUAAUUUUUGUAUUUUUAGUAGAGACUGGGUUUCCAUGUUGGCCAAGCUGGUCUUGUACUCCUGACCUUGGGUGAUCUGCCCACCUCAGUCUCCCAAAGUGCUGGGAUUACAGAUAUGAUCCACACACCCGGCCUUUGCGUCUUUAUAGUUACUCUCCUGUGUCACAUUAAUAAUUUUUUAAUAUUAAAAAACCCCUGUUCAAAUUGCUUUAUGGUUUCUGUCUCCUGAUGGGACUCAGUGAUCUGGAGGCCGUGAAGUCUGUUUUUUCCUGUGCAGUUCUUCCCUUCCCUUCUUCCACGGGUGUCCGACUUGCCCUGCAGUCUGAAGCUUCUCCCAGCCUACUCCUGCUUCCUCUCUCAUCUCUCACAGGCAUUACCUGCAAAACAUCUCUUCACAUGGUUAAUUCCUUCUUGGCAGUUGCUUCUCAAAGAACCCAAAUGGACGGCCAGGCACAGCGGCUCACACCUGUAAUCCCAGUACUUUGGGAGGCCAAGACGUGUGGAUCACCUGAGAAGUUUGAGACCAGCCUGACCAACAUGGAGAAACGCUGUCUGUACUAAAAAUACAAAAAAAUUAACUAGGCAUGGUGGCACAUCCCUGUAAUCCCAGCUACUCAGGAGGCUGAGGUAGGAGAAUCUCUUGAACCCGAGAGGCAGAGGUUGCUAUAAGCUGAGAGCACACCAUUGUACUCCAGCCUGGGCAAAAAGAGCGAAACGCUGUCUCAAAAAACAAACAAAAAAAAAAAGAAGAAGAAGAACCCAGAGGGACACAGGUUCCCACCACACUUAGAAUAAAAUCCCCUGCAAGAAGCAGCUUCUCCGCUCCUCCUGGAAUCUCUCCCUGGUUCAGCCCGCCUGCCUCCACUCCUGCCUCCACCAUGUCCAUCAGGGUGACCCAGAAGUCCUACAAGGUGUCCACCUCUGGCCCCGGGGCCUUCAGCAGCCGCUCCUGCAUGAGUGGGCCCAGUGCCCACUUGAGCUCCUCGAGCUUCUCCCGAGUGAGCAGCAGUGGCUUCCGGGGUGGCCUGGGUGCAGGUUAUGCUGGGGCCAGCGGCAUAGGCAUGGGAGGCAUCACCGCCGUCACCAUCAGCCAGAGCCUACUGAACCCCAUUAAGGUGGAUGUGGACCCCAACAUCCAGGCCGUGGGUACCCAGGAGAAGGAGCAGAUCAAGACCCUCAACAACAAGUUUGCUUCCUUCAUGGACAAGGUGCGGUUCCUGGAGCAGCAGAACAAGAUGCUGGAGACCAAGUGGAGCCUCCUGCAGCAGGAGAAAACGGCUCGGAGCAACAUGGACAGCAUGUGUGAGAACCACAUCAGCAACCUGAGGCGGCAGCUGGAGACUCUGGGCCAGGAGAAGCUGAAGCUGGAGGCGGAGCUUGGCAACAUGCAGGGGCUGGUGGAGGACUUCAAGAACAAGUAUGAGGAAGAGAUCAAUAAGCGUACAGAGAUGGAGAAUGAAUUUGUCCUCAAGAAGGAUGUGGAUGAAGCUUACAUGAACAAGAUGGAGCUGGAGUCUCGCCUGGAAGGACUGACUGAUGAGAUCAACUUCCUCAGGCAGCUGUAUGAAGAGGAGAUCCGGGAGCUGCAGUCCCAGAUCUCCGACACGUCUGUGGUGCUGUCCAUGGACAACAGCCGCUCCUGGACAUGGACAGCACCAUCGCUGGGGUCAAGGUGCAGUAGGAGGAGAUCGCCAACCGCAGCUGGGCUCAAGCGGAGAGCGUGUACCAGAUCAAGUAUGAGGAGCUGCAGAGGCUGGCUGGGAAGCACGGGCACGACCUGCGGCAUACGAAGACUUAAAUCUCCGAGAUGAACCGGAACAUCAGCCGGCUCCAGGCUGAGAUCAAGGGCCUCAAAGGCCAGAGGUCUUCCCUAGAGACCACCAUUGUUGAGGCUGACCGUCGCGGGGAGCUGGCACUCAAGGAUGCUCAUGCCAAGCAAAAGGAGCUGGAGGCCGCCCUGCAGCAGGCCAAGCAGGGCAUGGCACAGCAGCUUCGUGAGUACCAGGAGCUGAUGAACGUCAAACUGGCCCUGGACAUCGAGAUCGCCACUUACCGCAAGGUGAGGAGAGCCGGCUGGAGUCCAGGAUACAGAACAUGAGUAUCCAUACAAAGACCACCAGCGGCUAUGCAGGUGGUCUGAGCUCUGCCUGUGGGGGCCUCACAAGCCCCGGCCUCAGCUACGGCCUGGGCUCCAGCUUUGGCUCUGUCACGGGCUCCAGCUCCUUCAGCCGCACCAGCUCCACCAAGGCUGUGGUUGUGAAGAAGAUUGAGACCCGCGAUGCGAGGCUGGUGUCCGAGUCCUCUGACGUCCUGCCCAAGUGAACAGCUGCAACAGCCCCUUCCAGCCUGCCCCUCCUGAGGCUGCCCCAGAGCCCAGGAGGGAGGCUGCUGUACAGGGGAGCACAGGGAACAGGAGACCCACCUGAUGCUCAGCCCUAGCCUUCAGCCCACCCUCGGGGAGUUUACUGCCUGGGGACCCCCCUUGCUCAUGCCGCCAGCUGCAAAACAAUUCAAUUGCUUUUUUUUUUUGGUCCAAAAUAAAAUCUCAGCUAGCUC